CGAGUGACAAAUUAUAUUGUGUUUUCCUUUUCACAUGAUUAUGAAAUUUCUUACUUUGGUUAUUCAAACUUUAUCUUUUUGGUUAAUUAGAAAUUUUUAUCUUGUUUCUGGGUAAUCAAACGAAUCCCCUUUUUUCAGAUUCUUCUCUUCCCCUACUUCUUUUUGCUUAAUUCAAUCCACAUCUUAAUUUGCCUGUUCUUCUUUUGAUUCCGGAGGUUUUGAUCUUUCGAUUGCGCGGUCUAGGUCGAACAGAGGGGAUUAACAAUGGGAUUCUUGAUCACAUCCCUGAUUUUCUCCGUGAUUGGAGUCAUCGCUUGUUUUUGCACCCUAAUUUGCUGUAAUAGAGGCGCUUCAACUAAUUUGUUUCAUCUUACUUUGAUCAUUACUGCAACAAUAUGCUGCUGGAUGAUGUGGGCAAUUGUAUAUCUUGCACAAAUGAAGCCACUUAUUGUUCCCAUUCUGAAUGACUCGGAGUGAAGUGUUUAUUUAAGUUGUGUUAUGAAUUUUAAAUCAUCAUGGGGUUGCUGCUGAUGCACCCUAAAGAAGAAGAUAUGUUCAAUUUUUCAGAUUCCAUGUAUCUAUGUUGUAUUUCAAGGUUGAAUCUGUGCAUUUCAUAAUUUGAAGAUGACCUUUCAAUCGGGCUUCAGAUUUUUGGAGGAUCGACUGUUAUUCAUAGCUACUUAUUACACAGAUCUCCAUUUGUGAAUUAAAUACUUUUGUGGUUGGGGCUGUUUGUUUCAUUCUCCAACUUUUAUCAAUAAUAAUAUCAUUCAUUUAUUAA